CAGCAGCCACGGUAAUACGUAGGGUGCGAGCGUUAAUCGGAAUUACUGGGCGUAAAGCGCGCGCAGGCGGUUUUGUAAGACAGGCGUGAAAUCCCCGGGCCCAACCUGGGAAUGGCGCUUGUGACUGCAAAGCUAGAGUGCGGCAGAGGGGGAUGGAAUUCCGCGUGUAGCAGUGAAAUGCGUAGAUAUGCGGAGGAACACCGAUGGCGAAGGCAAUCCCCUGGGCCUGCACUGACGCUCAUGCACGAAAGCGUGGGGAGCAAACAGGAUUAGAUACCCCCGUAGUCCCUGUCUCUUAUAC
rnacentral:rRNA from 1 species